AGUUGAAGGCAGAACACUCCAAGCAUGAUGGAAUCCCUUCUCUUGUCCGGCAGCAUUAGUGGAUGCUGGUGAAAUGACCAUCAAGGCUGAAGUAUGGCAACACUGUGCUGUUUGAGAGUAAACGGAGAGCUGGUGAGAUGACCAUCAAGGCUGAAGUAUGGCAACACUGUGCUGUUUGAGAGUAAACGGAGAGCUGGUGAGAUGACCAUCAAGGCUGAAGUAUGGCAACACUGUGCUGUUUGAGAGUAAACGGAGAGCUGGUGAGAUGACCAUCAAGGCUGAAGUAUGGCAACACUGUGCUGUUUGAGAGUAAACGGAGAGCUGGUGAGAUGACCAUCAAGGCUGAAGUAUGGCAACACUGUGCUGUUUGAGAGUAAACGGAGAGGUAUGUAUCAAAUUCAGUCUAUAAAUGCUGUAAUCUGUGGGACAUUUUAAGUGAAACUUUUUUGUGUAUCAAGCUUUUAAGCGGAGGUCCACCCAAAAAUGGAACUUCUGCUUUAAGUGACUGUGAGCCCCUUGACAUGCCACAUUUGGAAAAUGGGAAACUAUCAACAGGGGCCCGGAAGUGAUGUCUCAUGUCAUUUCUGGGUCAUCAGCAGGGAGGAGGGGGAGAGCAGAUGUGCACCUAUGCCAGUCUCAAGCCUGCAGAUCAGCAAGCCGAGCCCGGGAUACUUGGGGUAGGUGUACGGGGUGUGAAGCAUUUCGUGGCAGAUCCAACAGUGU